AAUAGUAAAUGUCUCUGACACAUGUAAAAGACAAAUUAUCCCCCCAAAAAAGCAUUUAUUUUUCUCACAGAUGGGUUGCAGUAAAAGAACUGCAAAACAGCACAAGACAGAGUGGAGGAAGAAGGAAGCUCCAUUAUGGAUGUGAAGAAAAGGAAUAA
rnacentral:lncRNA from 1 species